rnacentral:misc_RNA from 1 species
GAAAUUGCCGAGAACGCUGUCAAGGUACAUGCAAUGCAUUGCAAAGCACCAAAAUAACUUGAGAAGGGCAACAACUCGCAAGAUUUAUAUAAGGUUCAAUUUGUACAAAUUACAUAUAAAUGAUAUAUACGUCAAAAAGCUUAUCAGCUAACAGCAUCAAUGAGAUAUGAAUGGCUGCAACUCUCUUUUUCUUGCCGAUUUCGGUUCGUCAUCUCCUAUAAUUAACAGUAAGGCAAGCCAAUUUUCUGCAUGGUCCCACUAUCUGACUCUACGUGUCUUCUGCUCAUUAACGAUAAACAAAUUUCUUUUGUUAAGGAAGCUGCUGCAGUCAAAUGUGGAGUUUCAAGCAUACUGGACUGUACAGCGGCUGAAACAAGUUGCCUCUCAAAAGUAGCAAGAGGCCGAGGUCCUUUGGUUUGAGGGCAGAACUGAAAGAAGCACAGAGCACAAGGAGAUCUUCAUCCAGCACCUCCAUUAACAGCUCAACUCUCAUCAAGAACAAUAUCAGCUGGAUCUCCAAUCCAUGGCCUCCCUUCUUUCCACUGAAACUUAAUCCUUAGCUUACCAUUUGCAUCUACACCAACUACCCAGCCUUUGCUUGCUUGAGUCUCCAUUCCCCACCCCCACCGUGGUGUUAUAAUCCCUUCCUUAAUUCUCACUUUGUCCCCCACUUUGAAUGGCCGAACCCUUUCCAUUUCCCAUGCCUUGCAAAGCCACAGCCUCUCCAUGAAGCAGAAUGCAACCCAUAAUUCCCCAUCUUCCAUCCGAUGCACCACUCCAAUGCUAAAGUGAUUCACCUCUCCCCAGUGGUGUGUUGGUGUUGAUACCGAUGCCCUUACCUUCACCCAGUCUCCAAUGUGAAGCUCCUCUUCCUCCACCAGCUCCACUUCUGAAGGAUCUAGAAUCCAAGUUUUCGAACCUACAGGAGUAUAUAUUCUCAGUUUUCCAUCAGCAUCAAUUGCCGAUAUUGUUCCAGCACUUGUAUGACUGUGGCCUGACCACCCAAAUCUCGGAUGUUUCACAGAGAGUUUUACCCUAACCUUCUGUCCAACUAUGAGCCUUCCUACUCUUUCAACGUGCGAAGCGGGUCCCACCCAUCUUUCUUGUUCCCCACAAAAGCCAACAUAAAUGCUUCCAUCCCAUUCAUCCCCAUCAUAACCUAUACCCUGUACGAUACCAAUGCUGCCUGGCCCAAUAGACUUCCAGUUAACCACAUCUUCCUUCAGUCUGACCCAUUCUCCCACUUCAAACAUCUGUUCAAUCUCAAGAUCGGCAGGAUCUCCCCUCCACAAUGCUGGCAAACCACAGAAAGCAACCCUCACUUCUCCAUCAGCAUGAACAGUGGUUAUUAUGCCUCGAGAAUCAGGCAGCGCAUGCCUCCAAGCCCAUCUCGGCUCAACUAAUCCAGUUCUAAACCGAACAUGCUGCCCCACUUUGAAGCAUGGAACCUUUUCAACAUCAGUGUAAUGAGUAAUCCACCUUCCUUUACGGAAACAACAAGCCAGCUCCAAGUAACCUGUCUCUUGUACACUAUGCACAACAGCCAAACUUUCCUUCCCAAUGCUAUUCCAAUCAUAACUUGGUCUAGUUCCAAGGCUUGGUUUUGAACGUACCCAAUCACCAACUUCAAAUCCUGAGAGCCGCUCUGCAUCUCCAGGAGAAACUUUCCACAAGCUCUGUCUGCUAGCAACCUUCACAUUCAAAGCCCCAUCCAUGUCAAUUCUAACAAUUUUUCCAACAGUUGCGGGGCUUUCAUUUGACCAUCCCAGUCGUGGCUGAGUCACAGAAGGCAAGACAUGUAUUUCUUGCCCCACUUCAAAAGGAGGCACCUUCUCCACAUCUGUCACAGAGCAAAUAAAAGGCUUGCUCCUGAAACAAAAGGCAACACCCAUAUCACCAUCCUCCUCCAAGCUGUGAAUUAUCCCAAUGCUGUUCCGUGUAAUGUCCUCCCAUCCAUAGCUUGGAGAGGGUACUGAAGCCUUCACUCUCACCCAAUCCCCAACCUUGAAAUCCUCAACCUUUUCCAUGUCAGAUGGGUCAGCUUGCCAGGGGAUAGGUCGAUUUGGUAUUUCUAUUAUGAGGAGACCAUCAUUCUCUAUCUCACUAAUUCUUCCAACACUAUGAUGGGUCUCACCACCCCAAGCAUAUCUAGGUUCUGCAACAGAUCGCUUCACACACACACAGUCACCAAUCCUGAAAGGGGCAACAGGCUCAACCUCCUCUGGUUCACAAUGCCAUGGAUUUGGGAGAUAACUCAACUCUAACAAUAGACUACUAUCUGGUCUAAUACAAUGCACUAUGCCAAUGCUCCCUGGUGUUACCAAUCCUAAUCCAUGCUUAGUUGUUGUGAGAGUGGGGCGGAUACGAACCCAUUCACCAACCUUGAAUUCUUCAACUCUCUCCAUUUCUGCAGGGUCAGCUUUCCAUCCUCUAGAUGCUCCCGGAAACCCAACACGCAGAAUCCCAUCAUCAUCAACACAUAAAACAGUUCCAAUGCUAUCACGUGAUUGACCGCGCCAGCCAAAUCUCGGCUCUUUGACUUCUGGUUUGAGCUGGACAUGCUGUCCCCUGUCUAAAGGAAUCACUUUCAAAACUUCACUUGCCAACACACGAGCCUCUCCAGUGCAGAAUGACACAGAGAGAUUGUCCUUGUCCACAACAUUUUGCACAAAGCCUACACUUUUAUGUUUAGCACCUUGCCAGCCAUGUCUAGGAGUUGUGACACUUCUCUUGAACUUCACCCAAUCCCCUACUUCAAAUAUUGUAGGAGAGAGAUGAACUCCCCUAUUCAUAAGUGCCUCCAUCAAAUCUUCUGAAAUCCAUUCCCGAGGUAGGGCCUCCAAAAGAUCACGUAAUAUCUUCCCACUGUGGUUUCUAACAUCUACAGCAGCAUCGUGAUUUCUAAGCAUAAUGAUGAGCCAUUCAAUAUUUUCACGUAUCAUUUUUGCUCUAUCUGCCGCUAUGUGGAAUGCAUUAUUACCUUCAUCAUCCUGCAGAUUACAACUUGCCCCAGCAGAUAAAAGCAAUCCAACACAUGACUUUGCCCCUCUGGCUAAUGCUACAUGAAGAGGAAUUGUAUUAUGCAUGUUCCGAAUGUUCACAUCCACUCCAGCUUCAAGAAUAAUCUUGACCAAUUCAACAUCAUUCGCCAUUGCAGCAGUAUGCAAGGCUGUUUGCCUAUGCUGUGCAUCUUGGGCCAUUGGAUCUGCUCCUGCAGCAAGCAAUAUCCGUACCAAUUCUCUCCCAUCAAUUUCAUGAUCUUUCUUCACAGCAGCUGCCAUACACAAUGCAGUUCCAACUGGACUGGGUAUAUCAAUUGUACCAGCAAUUUCUUCUGGGGAAGCAACUUCCAUCCAUCUUUUCACAACAGCCACAUUCCAUGUUGCCACACACAAGUGCAAUGGCCUGUGAAUUGAGAAUCAAAACAAGAAUACUGGAGGUGGAGCAGAAAAUAUACCCAAAGCAAACAUAAAUAGGAUAAAACUUCAGUCGCGUACACCAGAAUUGUCCUAUAGAAAGAAAGCAUUUCUAGGGGCAACCUCCAAAACUAGCUUCACUAUAUUAACAUUCAGUACACUUCAUAAUCACAAUGGUGAAGUGAAAAUAACCUCAGAAAGAACAACAUGACAAGCAAAAACAAAGCAACAAUUAUGCCCUAUGGGGCAGGUCACACUUUCAGAUUCUGGACAAUAACAAUGUGGCGUCUACAUGCACUCCACUGCAAAAUAUGCUAAGUAAAAACAAUGCAACAAUAAUGCCCUGCAGGAGCAGGUCAACUUUCAGUUUCUGGACAAUAACAAUGUGGCAGCUACAUGCACUACAAUCUCUUGCUAUCACCUUGCAACCUCCCCAAACAACCUCCAACGACACAACAUGUGAGAUAUAAACUUUUCGUUGUAAACUUACUUUUCCCUUCAUCAUUCAUAUUACAUAGGGGGUUUUCAACCUCCUGAAACAACCUCCAAAGACACACAAAAUGUGAGAUAUAAACUUUUCAUUGUAAACACACUUUUCCCUUUGUCAUUCAUAUUACAUAGGGGGGGAAAGAUGAAUAUAAAACCUACUCCAGACUUACGUCAAAUUUUUUGAAUUCUGAAUGGCCAUUGACCUAGAGCCUCCAUUUUCCAAUAUAGCAAUUGCACAAUCUGUAUAUUUCUUGGCAACAGCUCUAUGCAGGACUGUCUCACCUUCAUCAUCCACUGCAUUGGGAUCAGCUCCAGCCAAUAGUAGCUCACGCAUACAAUCAGGUUGGCCAUGGUAGGCACAAACAUGAACAACAGAUGGACCAAAGCCAUCUCUCAACCUAGAUCUAACAGUAGAUCCUUUUUCAAUAAGGGCACGAACACAUUCUGGAGAUCCAGCAGCUAAAGCAAAAACAAGUGCGGGAUCGCCAUCUUUAUCCAAAACAUCCACAUUUGCCUGUCUGUACUCCAAUAUAGCCCUUACAAGUUCUGCAUUGCCACGUCUACAAGCCAGGUGAAGAGCAGUCUGCCCAUCACCAUUUUGUGCUUCUAACAGUAUAGAUACUGAGCCACCACCAUUUCCUGAUGCAGCCUUUGCAAGCAGAUCUCUCACACCAUUUACAUCCCCUUCUGAAACUAGCCUAUGCAAAUGGCUAGGAUUGUCCUGAAAGACCUCCAAAUCAGAUGUGGGAGAUGGUUCUGUCACAUUUGAUCCAGUAUAUUUUGCAAAGCUACUGUAGUCACACAAAUUUUUUCAAGAAAAUCAAGCUCUCUCACACACACAUGCAGGCACACAAGACAGCAUAUUGCAAUAUUGUUUCUUCCCACGACCAAUCAGAAUACAAGCCCAUCACACUCCGACCAACAAGAAAAUGAAAAGGAUAAAAUUCCAAGAUCAAAACUUUGAAAUUCUUACUUAUCAGGGCUUGCAGGAGGGCUGCGUGGCAAUUCUUGCAGAUGACGAAGAAAUAUUCCUAACAUUGCAUUAAAACUUGGCCUUUUUGAUGCCUUGAACAGCAGGCACUCUCCAAUCAUCUUCCACAGUUCUCUAGGCAUUCCAACACCCACUACACUUGCAUAUUGUGGAGGCAACUUUCGAGCCUUGACAACAGCUCGAUAAAUUUCCUCAGCACUUAAUCCGGCCCACGGGAUGGAGCCUGUGCACAUUUCCACCAAUGUACAACCAAAACUCCAGGCAUCUGACUCUGCAGAAAUACCAAUUGAGUCGUCCCAGAAUAAAUUCAAUGACUUCUUCACUGGCUCCCAUGCCUCUGGUGCUGUGUAGUGUGGGCUGAGCAUUGUACAGUCCAUACAUGAAUGGAUUUUCACAGACUCACACUCUGAUCGAGCUUUCCGGCAGGCAGUUUUCUUCAAAAUUGCAGCAAGUCCAUAAUCAGAAACCACGGCACGACUGCUUGAAUCCAAGAGAAGAUUGGAUGGUUUUAUAUUCAUACAAACAACACCUGCUGCAUGCAGUUCAGCCACCCCUCGUGCUAUGUCAGCCCCAUAUCUUAGAAUUUGUUCAAGAGUAAGCCUGCCUUCAUUUCUCUGCAUCUCCAAUUGAACAGACCCAGAGCAUCUGUCCAUAACAAGACCUAGACAUCCAUCCAUCUUAAACACCCCAUGGAAGGUACAGAUAUUUCUACACCACAUGGAAGCUCGCCGCAAGUUCUCCAGCUGCCCUUGCACCCACUCCACCUCCAUGUCCUCCCCCACCUCCACCCUCUUCACUGCCACUCGAUGUUUGCACUUCCCAUGGAUCCCAUCACCAAUUACAGCUGCCCACGUCUCCACUCCUGCCCUUCUUCCUUCCCCUAUCUUCCUGACUAGCUUCACCUCCUGGUGGACCCCAAUCUCGAUCACCGGCCCACAUGCUCCAGAACUCGAUGCGUGGGACCCACGGCUAUAUCUCUCCUCUUCCGCCUCAUUGUCCUCCUUCUCAUCAUCGUCAGUGUAAUCGCAAUCAAAGUUGGGCGCCGGCGCCGCAGCAGAAGGUGAGUGUAGGAGGGCGAGGACAGCAUAGUUCUUGUGGAGAGCGUUGACAGAGUUACCAACGAGUGACACGUAGCGACAGCGGGGACAAGCAAGCGUCGUAUCGAGCGAAGAAGAGAACAUCCGUGAGAGACAAUCCUUGCAGAAGCCGUGGCCGCAUUGUAGCAGCAAAGGAACUCUCUCCUCCUCGUUGUACCCUGUUUGGCAAACGGAGCAGCACGGGACCUUCAUUUUCUAAUGUCCUCCUGUUUUAGUCUCCCUUCUCUCUCUCUCUCCCUCUCUGAAAAUUUUCCGGAGAAAAUCGAUUGAAUCAGGGAAAAAAGGGGGAAGAAAUGAUUGAAUUUUUAGGUUAAAAGAUCUUGAAAGUGAUAAAGAGAGAAGAUCCAUCAUCCAUUAUAGGAUUAAAAAUGAUCAUAAAUUAGGAAAUAAAUGUUCAAAGAGAAAACUUCAGAGAGAGAGAGAGUGCGGGUUUUAUAGAUAGUAUGGAUUUUUUAAUAAAAUAUUUAAUUUUUAGUAUUUUCUUCGCUUUUUCUUUCCCUUUUCUCUCGCUUUAGCUGCCUGCUUUGCUUGCUUGCUUGCAGACGCAGUGCACAACCCAUCUCGUCUUCGGCUGCAAUUUUUUUU